AAGAUUAGCAAUUGAUGAAGAUCGUGGAAUAGGACUCACGCCAGGUGAUAAAUCUGGAGAAGAAUCUACAGUCUUCUGCUCAGUACCUCUACCCCUCUACAAGGGAGGCUGCUGGGACUGAAAUAAUUUCCUGCAGACAAAGAAGAUGUGUCCCCCAAAGACAAUGAUGGCAAAAUUUUCACAUUCCUGAAUAUCUUCUUUUUUCCAGAGAACUAUGGAAUGGCAUCUUCUUCCAUACAGCUACAAUUGGGAUCGCUGGAUGCUGUAAGGUUUAAGAAGCAAAGCUUACACUGGACAGAAUGCAGUUUCAUUCAAGUGGAACAAUGUCCAACCCUCCUAAAAGGGUUGAUGCUUGCUGCUAUGUGGAAGUGACCGAGUGCAUUUGCGUGAUGUGAAAUGUGACGCUGAACUUCAUUGAGAAAUGGUGCUGCUAAUGCUGGAAGUGCUAGUUUCACAUAUUUGCUCACCCAGAAGAGUAUCUUCUGGUAACAGUGUCUCUGCCCACAGUCGACAGAUGCCAUCGAGACAUGAUCUGUUGCAAAGUAUUCACCAUCAGGAGACCAUGCCAUCAAAUGUACCGAUACUGCAGUCCUAAAGAACACAAGAGUAAAGUUUUAAAAUAAACCCUCCAUGUACACAAUGGCCUUUAUUAGGAAGUAAUCUAGAAAUACUCCCAGUACUCAAAUGCUUUGAGAGCUCUGAAAGAAUUUGCUCCUCCAGCUGUCAAACAAUUGGGCCUGCUAAAGUAUCUCAACAUUUGGCUUGUGGAAUUCUGGAUGGUUGUUUCUAAGGGAAAGGAUUUGGGAUUUCAUCAGAGAAUAUUAUGUCUCUCAGCUUGAGAACUGGCAAAGAUACAAAGAAAAAUGUCAUGACUUGAGAAGUAGAACUGUGAUAAAAUGUUUCACUAUUAGUUUUCUUGAAGCCUAGAAAAUCAUUGUUUCUAUAAAUGACCUUUCUGCUACCACAAUAUUUAAAGUAAGUGGUUAUGCAUGUCCUUGGAAAGAAACUAUUAAUGAAAUGAUAAUUCCAGGUUCCUUUUUUUUUUUUUUUUUAAAGCAUCUACAAUUUCUCACUCCAUAGGACGUCUGCCAGCACAGUCAUUAACAGAGAAUAUGUUUAUGGAUUUUACAAUCUGAAGAUAGUUAGGGUCAGUAACUACAUUGCUUGCAAACACCUGGUUUUGUGAGUACUAUUGUCACUGCUCUAAAUACAUGCUUUUGAUAUGAUCUUAUAUAAUGUGGUCCCCUUGCUAAAUACCAACUUGAACAUGAGAAUACACAUUUUACUUGUAGAUGUAGCAAUUAAAUGUCCAAAGUAGUCCUACAACUGUGUAGUUGCAUGCAAAAAUUAGAACUGGGUACACAAAACCUAGACUGAAAGAUUUCCAAGGCCAUGGCACAGAAAUGAAGUAAUGCAGCGUUGUCUUUCUGAGUCCUCAAACCUACAGCUGUUGUUCUGGGAAGCUCUGAGGAACUGAUACUCAGGUAUCAGUAUACUGCAAGCAGGAAGGAGGGGGGAACCAACUGCUAAAAGGUGGUUAGAGGGAGAUUAUCUGUGUAAGAAAAUACCUUAAGCUCCUUUGUGACUAGGCCAUGCAUUAUUACACCCUGUCUGGAAGGGAACACAUUAUUACAGAAGUUGAAUAUAAUUAUUUCCAGAAAGUGGGAGUGAGAGAGACUUGAGAUAUUGAAGUAACUUCUGGCACUGAACAGAAAAUCUUUCUGCUUCAUUGUUCCUCAACUUCUCAUAUUGGAUUUUGUUGCAAAACAAACUCCAUGAGUGGUGUGGAAAGCUGGACAGUUCAGCAAACAUUCACAAGUAGGGUGAAGGAGAUGGAGACUGUGCUGUGAAUGCCCAAAGGAAGACAGGAAAACAAAAGCAGGUCCUGGAGUUCCAAUAUUUUAUUCAUCAUUCUAAUAUUCACCAGCAGUUGAAACCCCUACUUCCAAGGGUAAGCAAUUAAAACAACCAAGAUUCAUUUUCAGUUUUUUGUCCAUCAGUCUUCCUCCUAAUUACUAAUACCAACAAACUAAGGGACAAGAUUUAAAAUGUUGUUUGAUACAUUAAGAAAAAAAAAGAAAAAGGUAUUGGUCCACUUAAAAUAAGAUCUUAAACUCUGUUAAUACCUUAUUUUUUUUUCAUUGUUGGUAUUGAUAAUUUGACUUGAAAGAGAUACAGACACGUGUCUCAGAAAUAACACAGAGAAAGGAGAAGACUUCUCAAGUUCAGUUAUGCUUACUGUUGUUAAACAUGCAUGCCUGUGUGUGUGUAUAGUUGAUAAUGGACAAACCAGAAAAGUGUUAAUGCUUGUGUAUGUCUGUUUGCCCUGUGAAGGAAGAGAAUUUAGUAUGUUGUUUUUUAAAAUGUUUUAGUUUCCCCUCUCCAGUCCCCUCUCCCCAGUUAUUAUUAUUGCAACAAAAGAACAUUUUGCUGGUUAAUUUUAACAUUUAGCAUUUUUAUGAAAUUAACUAAGGAGGUGGUUAAUAAGCAAAAGGGUGUUCCACAGAAGAAGGUUCUUUUGUUCUUCUUAAAGAAUCAUCAAGACAUAGAGAUCUGUUUCCUAAGUGAAAUCUUACUAUUCUUUCUUCUGUUUCUCCUCUUUGCCUACGUGUGGCACUGCACCUAAGUGUCCUAUGUCAGUCCAUGGGAGACCUCAGCCAGAGCACUUUCCCUACAGGUAUCAGCCUGCAGCUCCAGGUUCUUUGAGGAAGCACUCUUGGUUCUGAGGUCAUUUUCUUAGUGUUGAUAUUUAUUUUGAGAAAGUCUCUUGUUUCUUGAAGUUCUUUAGGAGUGUAUUUGCUAUAAAACUUCAGUAGUACAUUAUAUCAGCACUUUUAAGAAAAGGCACACCCUCAUUUGAAAAUGUGUUCACUUUUUCACAUUUACACUGUCACAUUUUUCAAAACAGAAGAGAUCAAUAUAUUUUCCUGUACUGCAAGGUAUUUCUACAUAGUCACCUUGUAUUGUCUAAAUACAAGCUUCCCAUUUGAUUACUUUUAUUUCUAUUUUAUUUCUAAUUAUCUCAAUAUAUUAUCAUGCUUACACCAGAACAGAACAUGUUUCAAUCAAAUCCUCUUUUUAAUUUCUUCUUUCCUUCCGUAAAGGUGCUUAACUAGUAGCCCCACUACACUGACAAAGAAUAGGAAAGUGCCAUAAUAGUUAUAAUGUUUAACAGUAGUUCCUUCUGAAGGACACAGCUGACAACAUCUUCAAGGGGAUCCUUUGUGUCAGCACAGAUCUCCCCUGCCAGAAGAAGAGUGGCCACAGAAUUCGAGGCAACAGACUAAUCAUCUGCACAGCCUGAUGGAAGGAAUGGAAAACUGGUAAGCCAAGCAAAAAGAAAAGAUGGAAAAAAACAUGCUGAGAGAUACUGUAAUGGUUCAGCAGUGCAGAGGCCUUAGAUAAACAGUUGUAAGCUGUCACUGAAUGAAACCAGUGCAGCAAAACCGCCCACAUGGAAUACCUGCCAACCUCCAUUUCCAAUGUCACUGGUAACUUUAAAAUUAAAUGGAUUUGCAAAACUGCCAGAAUGCAAAGAUGAGUUGCAGGAUCCACAAGCAGCUAAUAAGCUGUGGUUUGCCAAUGUUUGCUCGAGAUCUGAGCCCAUUGAAAUGAGCAAUGUCAAAGCUCUAAUUGAAUGCAGGAGUACUGGGCUCAGGUUCUGAUACAGUAGGACACUGUGCUAAGCUAAGUGAAACCAAACAGGGGUUGAAAAAUGGAGGUAGUUUACAACCUCUGAAAAACAUACUGGCUAAAAGUUACUCUACAAGGUGCAGAUAAUGAAUACCUUUUCUGGUUAGUCAGGGUGUGUUGAAAGACUCCUUGCAUAGCAAUCAGCUCUGACCACCUGUAACUUCUGUAUGCUUCUUUGUGAAACAUGAUUAGUGCUAACUGCUGAAAGGAGGACAGGAAGCCCGGCUCACAGCAAGUUGCAAAGUGCGCUGAAUUACUACCAGAAUGACAAACAGAAAGCUGUCAUUUAGUACUAAAACAUAAACAACAACAACAAACUACUAACUGCAUGGUCCCAGCACUAUUUCUUUGGAUUUGUUUCACUUCAUGGAGUCACUGAUACCUGUUUCUUUUUAGCUAAUUAAAAAAGCUUAAUAACAAAAUUAUUUAUUUUUCCUUUCUUAUGCUCAGAAUAACUAGAUGCCAUUCACCUAAAGCUCUAAACAAGUACACUUAUUAGGCAGAAUGUAUCAGCUGAGCUCCAGCUAAACUGGCCUGGAAUUUAAGAGCCUACAUCAAAAACAGAAGGGAGAGAAAGCAAAGAGGAAAGUUAUAGCUGUGGAUGUUCAGGAAGUGCACUCAUUGUCACACCCAUCCCUGUAGUUCCUUCUUUAAGAGUUCCUUCUUAGACACAGCAGCCAGAUGAGCAAGUGAGGUCUGUUAUAUGCAGCUCUAUAGUUAGGACAUGCUACUACGUGAUUCUUUUUCUUUUCUUUCUUUCUUUUUUUUGGGAUAAGAAAAUACGACUACAAAAAACAAAAACAAACAAACAAACAGAACCCAAACAAAUUGUUCUUGGAAAAGUGUUACGUGAGCUGUAAUUUAUACUGUUAUUCAUUUUUGAUGGUAUAAUUAUCAUGAGAAAUAGCAUAAAGUUGACUUUUAUAGUAUAGACUUUUCAGAUUGUUAGAGCCAAAGGAAACACGUUCAUAUAUGACAUAUGUUCAUAUGUAUGACAGAUACAGCUAUGUUAUUGUGUAAAUACCAAAAGAGGCCGUCUGAUAUCAGCAUGGCUGCACAGCAGCAAGACAAGGAAAGAAAGAGAAAGAUGGCACCUUUUAUUCCUUAUGAAUUUCAGCACUCGAUACCAAAAUUAGACCUCUGUGCUAACCCGAAGCAGGCUUUAAGUGCUGGACAAGUCAGCUGAUGGUUGUCUUGGGCAAGAAAUGGCGCUCUGCAUCAUCUAUCCGGCUUGUAGUUGGUAUCUUGCAAACGUUAGCAGGCAGUCUAGCGAGACAACGUAUCCACGGCCAGCGCGCACUGCCGGGAUGUGGCGUGCCGGGCGCUGCGGCUGCUGGCUCGCUACGAUCCGCCCGGCACACCGCAAGCUACAGACGGGAAAACCAUCGACAGAACAACAAGCGGCCCGCGGCUGAUGAACGCGUUUAUUACGCAACUUAGCGGACACCAGAAAUCCACUUCACGUCUUUCCCUCCUUCAAGGAGCACCAUUCGGAACCAGCCGUGUCUCAGCAGCGGGCGGAACCCAGCCGCGCACCGCCCGCCCCCGCAGCGAGGGGGGCGCGCAGCUCCCGGCCCGCAGCGCCGCACGCCGAGCCGCCCCUCCUCCGCCCCCGCACGGCCCCGACCCCGCAGGCCGCCCCGGCAGGUUAAUCCCCUCCGGCCCCUCCCACGGGCCUAUAAAAUGCCCUCCCCC